GCCAGUGUGCUGUAGUGGUUUAAGUGUUGGACUGUGACUCUGGAGACCAGGGUUCAAUUCCCAGCUCAGCCA
rnacentral:tRNA from 1 species